rnacentral:rRNA from 1 species
UACGAAGGGGGCUAGCGUUGUUCGGAGUCACUGGGCGUAAAGAGCUCGUAGGCGGCUUGUCACGUCGGAUGUGAAAGCCCGGGGCUUAACUCCGGGUCUGCAUUCGAUACGGGCUGGCUAGAGUGUGGUAGGGGAGAUCGGAAUUCCUGGUGUAGCGGUGAAAUGCGCAGAUAUCAGGAGGAACACCGGUGGCGAAGGCGGAUCUCUGGGCCAUUACUGACGCUGAGGAGCGAAAGCGUGGGGAGCGAACAGG